AUGACGCACAGAAAAAUGCCAACCCUGGUUCCACUGGCACAAGCUUCACCUUCAUUCACUGGAGCCUCAGCCCAUAGCCACCCAGGGAGGCAGGCAGGGUGGUGUUAACCUUCCCAUCUCACAAAUGAGAAAACUGAAUUGGCAUAUAAAUGAUUUGUACAUGGUUAAGAGUUAAGACUUGAACCCAGGACUUCUGACCAACUCCAGUACUUUUUUUUGCAAGAAUUUAUGUUCUGAAAAGAUCUCAAGCUAACCCACAUGGGCCUGGACAGCAGCCUUUUCCACUUGCCUCCUCCGACCUGCAGUCUGAAUUCCAUUACCAGGACAGGGCUUGCCCCAGGGAGGGGACCUCCUUCUAGAGCAUUCAAUGAAGCUGCAAGGAUUGAGAGGAGUAUUCUGCAUCUUUUUAAAUGGCAAAAUAAACUGUUCAGGUAUCCACUGUUAAGGUAGAGGGGAAUGUGGUGUUGCAAGAAGAAAAUUGCCCUGCUAGCACAGAUAUGAGAAGACAACAACUCCCAGAGCAUGCAGUCAGCACCAUUACUUUCCCUUAACUCCCCAAGGUGCCCUCCUUGCAUUUAUCUUUCUCUCCUACAUUGAUCUUCACUGGAGAAUAAAAAUUAGAGACAGUGAG
rnacentral:lncRNA from 10 species